rnacentral:rRNA from 1 species
UACGUAGGGGGCGAGCGUUGUCCGGAAUUAUUGGGCGUAAAGCGCGCGCAGGCGGUUUUUUAAGUUCGUGGUGAAAGACCGGGGCUCAACCCCGGAGCGUCCGCGAAGACUGGAAGACUGGAGUGUCGGAGAGGAGUGCGGAAUACCUGGUGUAGCGGUGGAAUGCGUAGAGAUCAGGUGGAACACCGAUGGCGAAGGCAGCACUCUGGCCGAAUACUGACGCUGAGGCGCGAAAGCGUGGGGAGCGAACAGG